rnacentral:rRNA from 1 species
CAUGCAAGUCGAGCGGACUAAUGGGAGCUUGCUCCCGUUAGUUAGCGGCGGACGGGUGAGUAACACGUGGGCAACCUACCUGUAAGACUGGGAUAACUUCGGGAAACCGGAGCUAAUACCGGAUGACAUAAAGGAACUCCUGUUCCUUUAUUGAAAGAUGGCUUUUAGCUAUCACUUACAGAUGGGCCCGCGGCGCAUUAGCUAGUUGGUGAGGUAACGGCUCACCAAGGCGACGAUGCGUAGCCGACCUGAGAGGGUGAUCGGCCACACUGGGACUGAGACACGGCCCAGACUCCUACGGGAGGCAGCAGUAGGGAAUCUUCCGCAAUGGACGAAAGUCUGACGGAGCAACGCCGCGUGAGCGAUGAAGGCCUUCGGGUCGUAAAGCUCUGUUGUUAGGGAAGAACAAGUGCUAGUUAAAUAAGCUGGCACCUUGACGGUACCUAACCAGAAAGCCACGGUUAACUACGUGCCAGCAGCCGCGGUAAUACGUAGGUGGCA